rnacentral:rRNA from 1 species
UACGGGGGGGGCAAGCGUUGUCCGGAAUGAUUGGGCGUAAAGCGUCCGCAGGUGGCUAUGUAAGUCUGCUGUUAAAGAGUGAGGCUCAACCUCAUAAGGAGCAGUGGAAACUACAUGGCUAGAGUGCGUUCGGGGCAGAGGGAAUUCCUGGUGUAGCGGUGAAAUGCGUAGAUAUCAGGAGGAACACCGGUGGCGAAGGCGACAUCCUGGACCGGUUCUGACGCUGAGGCGCGAAAGCGUGGGGAGCAAACGGG